CCGAUUUCGGAUAUUUUAAGAAUUGUAUUGAUUGUCAAUGACUUUACAAGGAUAACUUGACGUCUCCUGCAUCGUGAGAAAUAAGCCAUAGAAUACAUUCAUACCACUCAAAUUCAGCCAGUCAGAAUGAUGGGAAGGAUUGCAGAACUGAGUUUCACUCUCACCUGACUGAUGCAGAUUCAGUAACCUAAUUGCUCAUAAUGGUUUCUGAGAAAAAAACCCAGCUUGGUGUAAUUUGACAGUAUUUUUCAGUAUUUGACAGUGGUUCUAUCAUGCAACAAUCAUACCAUGAAGUGUCUCACAUAUUCUCUCUCAAUUCCAGCAAUAUCCAAGAUUACAGUGUAGUGAAAAGAGGAUUAAUUUUCUUGCAAUAAGAAGUAUCUGCACUUCCAAAUACCCCGGUACAGCAUGAACAGUUCCUUCGUUUUUUGAGUGAUUAUAGAGUGAAAAUGUUUCCAUAUAAAAUGUUGUCUUUUUAUGUGUAAAACUUGUUAUGAAUGGUUACAAAUACAUGCCUAGACAUUUUGAUUCCAAAUCUAUGAACAUUUUGAUUCCAAUAAUUAACCACAAAAGUAUUUUAAAUUUGGUUUGAAACAGAAAUAUUGUCCUUUUGUCUGUUUCUAAACAGUAACUGGUAUUAUUCAUGUUUAUAGUUUCCAUGUCAAUUUAAAAAAAAAGUCAGUUCUAUUAAAGAUGCACUCUUACUCCCACAUAAGAUUUACCACAAUUAAUACUUUUGUUUUAUUAUUCCAAAAAGGAUGAAUAAAUGUUGAAAACAAUGGUUCUAAUGAAGGAUACCUAUUUUUACUUGAAGGAAAUGUGCAUAAAAGACAGUAUUUCUACCAUUUGAGAUCAUAGUAGAUCACAGUAAAUGUUUAUGCAUUCACCAAUCAUUUAAUAUGUUUGAGUUUUCAGCUUAGAUACACGGUUACAAUAUAUUAAUCAAUACUUAAUAUUUUCCUUUUUUUUUUUGAAAAAUGAAUUAUUAAGUACCCGGUAAGUUGUUAAAUGGUUAACAGUCAAAGUAUAUGUUUGUUAUACAUGUGUAUGCGAUAUUGAAUAAGAGUGUCACUUUUAACAGUUGCCAUGGUAACUAGAGUCUAGUUUUCUUAGAAAACUGUAAUUGUUAACUAAAAACCUUAGUAUUUUCAAUGUGAUACUUUUUAGCAUGUCCGCUUCAGUCAAUGAAAUAUUUUUGUUAUUUGUUAUUCAUUUUGUCAUACUUUGUAUACAAUUAUAUUUAUAAUUUAACCUUGAAAAUUGCUGACAAUCUCAUACUUCUAUUGGAAUAUUCAGAUUUGCUAGAUGGGUUGAAGUUCACCUUUAUUACAAUUGUCAGGCAAAUCAUUGCAAGAUAUAUACAUAAUUCUCCUUUUUAACAAAAAGCGAUGUUUAAAGCAUUUUUUGUAUUUUUAUUGAAUGGUUACCAUGGCAACUAAUUUUUUGUUUGCCUUUAAUCUUCAUAUUUAUAAUACUAUUCAUUGUAAAAAUGCAACAGUCAAGCAGUGAAUGGAAGAAUGUAAAUGUUCUUUGUUUUUUACCUUUUUCAAGCUCAUUCUUUAAAAUAUACAGCAUUCUUAAAAUUUCUUAAAAAUGGACGUUUUUCCAUCAUUUUUUUUUAAAGUGAAAUAUUUUGCUUAAAACAUUGUUUAAGUUCUGAUAUUUAGGAAUGUGUAUUAAAUUUAUAGAAAAUAAACAAAAUGUGUUGUUUGACAUUAUUUAUUUCAUUUAAAUUCCGAAGUUUUGAAUUUUACCUAUUUUGUCAGAAAAAAUGAUAAAAAUGUAAAAUUAAAAGGGCCAUAAUUCUGUCAAAAAUUGAUGUAUUUUAAAAAUAUGUGCAUAUUUGAGUUUGUAAUGACGUAACCUUUAAAAUGAUAUAUCACUUUAAUAUACCGCAUGAAAUUAUUUUUUUACGUUGUUAUUGCUACCUUAGAUACUUGGUAUCAUUUAAAUGCCAAUAACUUAAAACGCAUUGUAUAUUGAGAACACAUUAUUUGUGGCAGACUUUGAAAAUGAUUGGAAAUAGCAUUUUCAUUAGUAACCAUAGCAACCGAUUUUUGCUUGACCUUUGUGGCCAAUUUCUAUGUCAUUAUAGACAUUAGCAAUGUGUACUUGCUAUUUCAAUGUUGAAGUUUAUGUAACACUAGUAAAGAUAAGUGAUAUAUUUAAACAGGUAUCUUGACAUAUAUAUAAUAUUUAAAAUAAGAACAGUUUUGUUCACAUUGUUUUUUAUCCCUGUGUUUCAUAAUGAUUCAUAUGUUUUAUAACUUUUGUGAAAUUUAACAUGAAACUUUAAGAGUUAAUUUCUGUAAAUACUUAGUAUCAUACAGAUGUCAAUAACUUAUAAAUAAAAAAAAAUAUGCGGACUUUCAAAAAUGAUUGGUAAUAGCAUUUUCAUAAGUAACCAUAGCAACUGAAUUUUGCUUUGACCUUUGUUGUAAGUUUCUUUAUCAUUAUGGACAUUAGCAAUGUGUACUUGUUAUUUUCCAUUUGUAGUGUAUGUGAUACAAGUAAAGAUAGUUUUAUAUUUUAAUAUUUUGACUUGUAUACUUCAUUCAAAAUAAGAACAGAUUUAGUGAAUAUUUCGUUCAAAUUGUGUUAAAACCCUCUGUUACAAAAUGUUCCAUAUCCAUUGUUUUGAUUUUUAAUAUUUGACUUACAACUUCAGAUUUUAUUUCUGCAAUUGCUUGGUAUCAUAACAAUGUCAAUAACUUAUAACACAACUUUAUGAAAAACAUUAUUUUUUAAGAAACAUUUAGAAAAUGAGUGAAAAUGGCAUUAUCAAUAGUUACCAUAGCAACCAAAUGCAGUUAUGAACUUUUCGUUAACUUUAGUAAUCAAACUAUGAGUGCUUAUUGUUUCUAUGUUAACACUUAUAUGUUACAUUUAAAUAGUCCUUGACAUGAUACUUAUCUGACAUGGAUAUUUCAUUCUAAAUAA